CUUGAAUUCACUCUCUCCCUAAAACACCGAGAGAAGGGAGCUCCCACUCUCCCAUUACCUUCACAAAUCAACCUAAAGCUCUACAUAUUCGAAGUCUGUGGGAUGCAAGGAUCACAAUGGUGGUCUUGUAUGUGAGAUCGGUGCAGUGUGGACCUCGACACCAUUAAAGCCGAGAGCUUGAAGCUCUCAAACUCAAACCCAGGGUUUCAACCUCUGCAACUUUUUUGCAUACGAAUCCAGCCUUAACGACAAAUUCCGGAAAAUGUCGUUGAGUUUGAAGUCGGCUGGUGUUGGUGAUCCAUACAUUCUCUCUCUCUUGCAUCUGGGAUGUUUGGAUGAGGCUUUUGAGCUAUGUGUUCAAGUUCUAACACCUGCAUGCACCCUUAUCUCUAUUUCUAGUUUUCGGCAAGAGAAGGAGGACGAACUCCAGCGAGUUCGAGCCUUGAUUCCCCCCCAAUCCUGCUACAUGUGUUUCCGACGAGGUUUUUUGAGCAAAAACUGUUGAAUCCGAGGUGGAUUCAAUCUCUCAUCCUUCUAAACUAGUUUUAGAUUCCGGCGACCGCCGUUUUGACGGCUACAGUGACGGUGCCGUUAACUUUAACUGCAUAUCUUUCCUCAUCAGGUAUAUUCCGUUAUCUUUGUUGAACCUCACCGCACCAAAACGUGGCUUCGGCAACGACGAGUGUGACAUCUACUUGUUGAACCGCGACGGCAAGUACGAAAAUGCGUUCACUGACAACGGUGGCUCACAAUGGUGCGUGUUUUUUGGCACGUGACACCACUACGGCAACGCGUGGUGGCACGUGGCCGGAGCACGCGGCAUGUGUGGAGGUGUGUGCAGGACCCGUGACCAAUGUUUACGUUUUUCAAUGCUCUGAAUCACAUGGCGCCCUGUUCGAGCAAAUUCAUUACUUAAAAUGGUAGUUUUGGACGAUUUUCAUAAAUUGUCGAUUAAAGCUUAACUUAGCUUUAUAUGAUUAUCACAGGUUUAUUAGAGGAUAAAAAGAAAUCAAGCAAGGAGCCUUUUGACGAGGAGCGCCCUGCGUACCUAUGAGUGACCCCUUCGAAAACUCAAACGUUUUUACGUUAUAUAUAUAUAUAUAUAUAUGCUUUUAUAUGCGGAUGCAUAUUACUUAUGUUAGUCUUUGACUACACUUAUACUUAAAUUAAUAUUAGAUGACAUCUUGAGAUCAUUUGUGAUUUACUUUCACCACAUGGUUAUCAUACAUAUCGUAUAGCUAGCUAUGACUGCAGGAUUUAUUACAGGUACAUUAUAUUCUAGAGAUGCUAGAACUCGCUAGUAGACGCUAGAUAUUGAUUAGGUAGAUGCCACUUCACUUGCUUGCUAUACAUUACUUAUUUGUGAUUGAUUUACUUUCUUUGAUAUGACGUGCAAGAUUGAGUUGAUCUAGACUACUAUUACUCUUGUAUUACUAUGUAUGUAGUUUUCACUAUCUAUGUUUUCAAAAUAGGGGUUAUUAUGUUUGAAUGAUUUUGAAGUGAUAAAACUGGUCCACUCACAUUUUGUUCUGUCGACAUCUUUAGGACGUAACGAGAAUAAGAAGAACACCGGUGAUGACAAGUGGGCUUGGCUGUGAGGUUUUCAUCCUUUGGAUUUAGGGCGAUAGUUCAUUUACUGUAGUUUUAUCUUGAUUGUAAUAAUUGCAUGAUCACACUUUUGAUAAUGCCCAACACUGCACUUUUAUGUGUUUAAUUACUGUUGUGUGAAACUUCUAGCUACUUUAAUGUGAUGUGAUAAUAACGGGAUUUAAUCCCAAGAUAUUUUGUGUCCCUAAGUGGGGAGGUUGAUAAGUGAACUAUGUAGUAGUGAUCGGAUCAUAUUUAUAUAUAUUUUUACUUCGAAUUCA